CCUACGGGUGGCAGCAGUGGGGAAUAUUGGACAAUGGGGGGAACCCUGAUCCAGCCAUGCCGCGUGUGUGAAGAAGGCCCUCGGGUUGUAAAGCACUUUCAGUGAGGAAGAACGCCUGGUGGUUAAUACCCAUCAGUAAAGACAUCACUCACAGAAGAAGCACCGGCUAACUCCGUGCCAGCAGCCGCGGUAAUACGGAGGGUGCGAGCGUUAAUCGGAAUUACUGGGCGUAAAGCGCGCGUAGGUGGCUUGAUAAGCCGGUUGUGAAAGCCCCGGGCUCAACCUGGGAACGGCAUCCGGAACUGUCAAGCUAGAGUGCAGGAGAGGAAGGUAGAAUUCCCGGUGUAGCGGUGAAAUGCGUAGAGAUCGGGAGGAAUACCAGUGGCGAAGGCGGCCUUCUGGACUGACACUGACACUGAGGUGCGAAAGCGUGGGUAGCAAACAGGAUUAGAUACCCCAGUAGUC
rnacentral:rRNA from 1 species